rnacentral:rRNA from 1 species
UACGUAGGGUGCGAGCGUUGUCCGGAAUUAUUGGGCGUAAAGAGCUCGUAGGCGGUGUGUCACGUCGGCCGUGAAAAACCUGCAGCUUAACUGUGGGCGUGCGGUCGAUACGGGCAUCACUGGAGUUCGGCAGGGGAGACUGGAAUUCCUGGUGUAGCGGUGAAAUGCGCAGAUAUCAGGAGGAACACCGGUGGCGAAGGCGGGUCUCUGGGCCGAUACUGACGCUGAGGAGCGAAAAGCGUGGGGGAGCAAACAGG